UGGGGAAUAUUGGACAAUGGGCGAAAGCCUGAUCCAGCCAUGCCGCGUGAGUGACGAAGGCCUUAGGGUUGUAAAACUCUUUCGUCGGGGACGAUAAUGACGGUACCCGAAGAAGAAGCUCCGGCUAACUUCGUGCCAGCAGCCGCGGUAAUACGAAGGGAGCUAGCGUUGUUCGGAAUCACUGGGCGUAAAGCGCACGUAGGCGGAUAGUUAAGUCAGGGGUGAAAUCCUGGGGCUCAACCCCAGAACUGCCUUUGAUACUGGCUGUCUCGAGGUCGAGAGAGGUUGGUGGAAUUCCUAGUGUAGAGGUGAAAUUCGUAGAUAUUAGGAAGAACACCAGUGGCGAAGGCGGCCAACCGGCUCGAUACUGACGCUGAGGUGCGAAAGCCAGGGGAGCAAACGGGAUUAGAUACCCAUGUAGUCCCUGAGCGGGCUGGCAAGGCGCAU
rnacentral:rRNA from 1 species